UACGAAGGGUGCAAGCGUUACUCGGAAUCACUGGGCGUAAAGCGUGCGUAGGCGGUUCGUUAAGUCUGCUGUGAAAGCCCUGGGCUCAACCUGGGAACUGCAGUGGAUACUGGCGGACUAGAGUGUGAUAGAGGAUGGUGGAAUUCCCGGUGUAGCGGUGAAAUGCGUAGAGAUCGGGAGGAACACCAGUGGCGAAGGCGGCUCUCUGGGACGGUACUGACGCUGAGACGCGAAAGCGUGGGGAGCGAACAGG
rnacentral:rRNA from 1 species